CAACAAUAAUAUUCAUGUUAUAAGAAACAAAUCAUUUCUUGAUUUUACUGCCCUUCGAACGCUUUCACUGGCGUACAACGACAUUGAAGUUUUGACAUACGAAGCUUUCUAUGGUCUUAACAAUCUGACGAUGCUAAAUAUCAGUAUGAAUCCACUACGUCAUUUCAAAGGGAAUUUAACUGGAUUAUUCCCCUCGCUUUCUGUAUUGGACGCUACAGGCAUCGAGGCCUGGAAACCAGAGAAAAAGAUGUUGCAACUGCGCAUGCUUGAACGGAUUAUAGGUCUCACGUGGUCAGUGGAGUGUCAAAACUGCUUAUUUUACCGAAGCAACAGGACGAAU